CAAGUCGAACGCGAAAGUUCCCUUCGGGGGGCGAGUAGAGUGGCGCACGGGUGAGUAACACGUAGGUAAUCUACCUUUGGAUUGGGAAUAACCACCGGAAACGGUGGCUAAUACCGAAUAAUGCAGCGGCACCUAAUGGUGACAGUUGUUAAAGCGGGGGAUCGCAAGACCUCGCGUCUGAAGAGGAGCCUGCGGCAGAUUAGCUAGUUGGUAAGGUAACGGCUUACCAAGGCGAUGAUCUGUAGCCGGCCUGAGAGGGCGGUCGGCCACACUGACACUGACAUACGGGUCAGACUCCUACGGGAGGCAGCAGUCGGGAAUUUUGGGCAAUGGGCGAAAGCCUGACCCAGCAACGCCGCGUGAAGGAUGAAAUCCUUCGGGAUGUAAACUUCGCAAGAACAGGAAGAAUAAGUAAGGGUUAAUAUCUCUUACGAUGACGGUACUGUUUGUAAGCUCCGGCUAACUCCGUGCCAGCAGCCGCGGUAAUACGGGGGGAGCAAGCGUUGUUCGGAUUUACUGGGCGUAAAGGGCGCGUAGGCGGCCUCCGCAAGUCGACUGUGAAAUCUCCGGGCUUAACCCGGAAAGGUCAGCCGAAACUGCGGGGCUAGAGUGCAGAAGGGGCAACUGGAAUUCUCGGUGUAGCGGUGAAAUGCGUAGAUAUCGAGAGGAACACCUGCGGCGAAGGCGGGUUGCUGGGCUGACACUGACGCUGAAGCGCGAAAGCUAGGGGAGCGAACGGGAUUAGAUACCCCGGUAGUCCUAGCCUUAAACGAUGAAUGCUUGGUGUCUGGGGUUUUAUAGUCCCCGGGUGCCGUCGCUAACGCUUUAAGCAUUCCGCCUGGGG
rnacentral:rRNA from 1 species